UCGCCCCACUCGUCGUGCCUGUGUCCGGUGUCCACCGAAAUAGGAAGAGCUAGGGGAGGGCGGAGAGGCCGCCGCGCAGGGGAGACCACCGGGGAGAUCGAUGGAUCAAGGAGGCGGGUGAAGUUGUCGGGAAUGGAGAUCAAGACAAAUGAGAUAGGCUACAUGAUCAAGACAGAUGCAGAGAAGAGGUAGUGGAAAUGAGAAGGGUGUGAGAUGGCAUGUCUAUGCAAAGGGUGUAUGAGAUCCAAAAGUUUGCCCAUCUUCUACUGCCUUCAUUUUGAUUUAGCCGUCCACCGCUAGGAUUCAACCAUUCAGACAUCUUUAUGUGAAGGGGAAGAAGAAAGAACAUUGACGUAGUUAUAGAACAAGCUAAGAAAUAUAAGGCCAGACUUUUCUUUUUGUGUGUAAAGGCCCAUAAGUAGCCUGAUGUACUAGCAAUAACUGGCCAGUUUAGUCCCUUUUUCAUUACCAGGGAACAACCUGAAUGAAUUGGGUGCUGGGAUUAUUUUGCGGUUAAAAACCAGGGAAAAAACCGGACUCAAUGGUAAUGAACAGACUGAUUUUUUA